CAUGGUUAGGAAAUAAAUACUUACCUUGACUAUUGUAUAACAAAACACAUCGAUUUCCUUAUAGUCUACAGAAAGGUUCAGCUGUAUUUGAAGCCUUCCCUGUUGUGGUCUAAUGGUUCCCUUUUGUGCUUACACAUUUCUGUUCCUGGAUCAGUGUGUCCUGACACGGUGUCUCUGUUCUAGUUGUCAGACACCCUGACACGGUGUCUCUGUUGUAGUUGUCAGACACCCUGACACGGUGUCUCUGUUCUAGUUGUCAGACACCCUGACACGGUGUCUCUGUUCUAGUUGUCAGACACCCUGACACGGUGUCUCUGUUCUAGUUGUCAGACACCCUGACACGGUGUCUCUGUUCUAGUUGUCAGACACCCUGACACGGUGUCUCUGUUCUAGUUGUCAGACACCCUGACACGGUGUCUCUGUUGUAGUUGUCAGACACCCUGACACGGUGUCUCUGUUCUAGUUGUCAGACACCCUGACACGGUGUCUCUGUUCUAGGUGUCAGACACCCUGACACGGUGUCUCUGUUCUAGUUGUCAGACACCCUGACACGGUGUCUCUGUUCUAGUUGUCAGACACCCUGACACGGUGUCUCUGUUCUCGGUGUCAGACACCCUGGCACGGUGUCUCUGUUCUAGGUGUCAGACACCCUGACACGGUGUCUCUGUUCUAGUUGUCAGACACCCUGACACGGUGUCUCUGUUCUAGUUGUCAGACACCCUGACACGGUGUCUCAGUUCUCGGUGUCAGACACACUGACACAGUGUCUCUGUUCUAGUUGUCAGACACCCUGACACGGUGUCUCUGUUCUAGGUGUCAGACACCCUGACACGGUGUCUCUGUUCUAGGUGUCAGACACCCUGACACGGUGUCUCUGUUCUAGGUGUCAGACACCCUGACACGGUGUCUCUGUUCUAGUUGUCAGACACCCUGACACGGUGUCUCUGUUCUAGUUGUCAGACACCCUGACACGGUGUCUCUGUUCUAGUUGUCAGACACCCUGACACGGUGUCUCUGUUCUCAGUGUCAGACACCCUGGCACGGUGUCUCUGUUCUAGGUGUCAGACACCCUGACACGGUGUCUCUGUUCUAGUUGUCAGACACCCUGACACGGUGUCUCUGUUCUAGUUGUCAGACACCCUGACACGGUGUCUCAGUUCUCGGUGUCAGACACACUGACACAGUGUCUCUGUUCUAGUUGUCAGACACCCUGACACGGUGUCUCUGUUCUAGGUGUCAGACACCCUGACACGAUGUCUCUGUUCUAGGUGUCAUACACCCUGACACGGUGUCUCUGUUCUAGGUGUCAGACACCCUGACACGGUGUCUCUGUUCUAGUUGUCAGACACCCUGACACGGUGUCUCUGUUCUAGGUGUCAGACACCCUGACACGGUGUCUCUGUUCUAGGUGUCAGACACCCUGACACGGUGUCUCUGUUCUAGGUGUCAGACACCCUGACACGGUGUCUCUGUUCUAGGUGUCAGACACCCUGACACGGUGUCUCUGUUCUAGUUGUCAGACACCCUGACACGGUGUCUCUGUUCUAGUUGUCAGACACCCUGACACGGUGUCUCUGUUCUAGGUGUCAGACACCCUGACACGGUGUCUCUGUUCUAGGUGUCAGACACCCUGACACGGUGUCUCUGUUCUAGGUGUCAGACACCCUGACACGGUGUCUCUGUUCUAGGUGUCAGACACCCUGACACGGUGUCUCUGUUCUCGGUGUCAGACACCCUGACACGGUGUCUCUGUUCUAGGUGUCAGACACCCUGACACGGUGUCUCUGUUCUAGGUGUCAGACACCCUGACACGGUGUCUCUGUUCUAGGUGUCAGACACCCUGACACGGUGUCUCUGUUCUCGGUGUCAGACACCCUGACACGGUGUCUCUGUUCUAGGUGUCAGACACCCUGACACGGUGUCUCUGUUCUAGGUGUCAGACACCCUGACACGGUGUCUCUGUUCUCGGUGUCAGACACCCUGACACGGUGUCUCUGUUCUCGGUGUCAGAGAGACAGUCUUGGUGUGUCUGUCAGACAUUCGGUCCGGUGUGAUCAA